GGCCUCUUGAUUUAUUAAUAAGAGGUUUGACCUGCCCAGUGAAUAUUUAACGGCCGCGGUACUCUGACCGUGCAAAGGUAGCAUAAUCAUUAGUCUUUUAAAAGGAGGCUGGAAUGAAGGGUUUGACGAGGAAUUAACUGUCUCAUUUUUUUUGGAUUUAAAAUUUAACUUUUUAGUCAAAAGGCUAAAAUUUUAUUGGUAGACGAGAAGACCCUAUAGAGCUUUAUAUUUAUUUGAUUAUUUGUAUUAUAUUAUUUAUUAUUAUUUUAGGUAAAUAUUUUGUUGGGGUGACAAAAAUAUAUAAUUAACUUUUUUAUUUUAAUUACAUUGAUUUAUGAAUAUGAGAUCCAUUAUUAUUGAUUGUUAGAUUAAGUUACCUUAGGGAUAACAGCGUAAUCCUCUUCCAGAGUUCAUAUUUACGGGAGGGCUUGCGACCUCGAUGUUGGAUUAAGAUAAUAUUUAGGUGUAGCCGCUUAAGUAAUAGGUCUGUUCGACCUUUAAAUUCUU
rnacentral:rRNA from 1 species